CACGUAGGGCGCAAGCGUUGUCCGGAAUUAUUGGGCGUAAAGAGCUCGUAGGCGGUCUGUUACGUCUGCUGUGAAAAUCCGGGGCUUAACCCUGGGCUUGCAGUGGAUACGGGUAGACUAGAGGCAGGUAGGGGAGAAUGGAAUUCCCGGUGUAGCAGUGAAAUGCGUAGAGAUCGGGAGGAACAUCAGUUGCGAAGGCGGCUCUCUGGACCAGCACUGACACUGAGGCACGAAAGCGUGGGGAGCAAACAGG
rnacentral:rRNA from 1 species